rfam:Chlorocebus sabaeus isolate 1994-021 chromosome 17, whole genome shotgun sequence.
AAAACGGCCAGUGUCAGGAGCUGCUGCGAGAGGCCGCCGCGUUUCUAGAGCGUGGCUCCCGUUGUCCUGAGGCUUCCCAGAGCGAACCUGUGCGGCUGCAGGCACCAGCGCCGUUGAGUUUCCGGCGUUCCGCAGGACUGAGCUCUUGUCGCGGGUCCCGUCCGCCGUUUCCAGUCCCGAAUCUCGGAGCGGAGCAGACAGCAGGGCACCGGCAUGG